rnacentral:rRNA from 1 species
GCCCAGACUCCUACGGGAGGCAGCAGUGGGGGAUAUUGCACAAUGGGGGAAACCCUGAUGCAGCGACGCCGUGUGGGCGAAGAAGUAUUUCGGUAUGUAAAGCCCUAUCAGCAGGGAAGAAGAAAUGACGGUACCUGAGUAAGAAGCACCGGCUAAAUACGUGCCAGCAGCCGCGGUAAUACGUAGGAGGCGAGCGUUAUCCGGAAUGACUGGGCGUAAAGGGUGCGUAGGUGGUUUGACAAGUUGGUAGCGUAACUCCGAGGCUCAACCUCGGCACUACUACCAAAACUGUCGGACUUGAGUGCAGGAGGGGCAAUUGGAAUUCCUAGUGUAGCGGUGGAAUGCGCAGAUAUUAGGAGGAACACCGGUGGCGAAGGCGAAUUGCUGGACUGUAACUGACACUGAGGCACGAAAGCGUGGGGAGCAAACAGGAUUAGAUACCCGCGUAUC